CAGUCGCCACGGUAAUACGUAGGUGGCGAGCGUUGUCCGGAAUUAUUGGGCGUAAAGGGAGCGCAGGCGGACAUAUAAGUCCAUCUUAAAAGUGCGGGGCUCAACCCCGUGAGGGGAUGGAAACUGUAUGCCUUGAGUGCAGGAGAGGAAAGCGGAAUUCCUAGUGUAGCGGUGAAAUGCGUAGAUAUUAGGAGGAACACCGGUGGCGAAAGCGGCUUUCUGGACGACAACUGACGCUGAGGCGCGAAAGCCAGGGGAGCAAACGGGAUUAGAUACCCCAGUAGUCCCUGUCUCUUAUACA
rnacentral:rRNA from 1 species